rnacentral:rRNA from 1 species
CGGUGUUCAACUGGCGUGUCCGCGGGACGUCCUGCCGGUGGGCUUAGCCCGCAAGGGCGGCCCAACUUCAAAUCCCAUCGCGGUGCUCUUCACUGAGUGUCGAGGUGGGCCGGCACGUUUACUUUGAACAAAUUAGAGUGCUUAAAGCAGGCUAAAACUUCGCCUGAAUACUGUGUGCAUGGAAUAAUGGAAUAGGACCUCGGUUCUAUUUUGUUGGUUUUCGGAACCCCGAGGUAAUGAUUAAUAGGAACGGAUGGGGGCAUUCGUAUUGCGACGUUAGAGGUGAAAUUCUUGGAUCGUCGCAAGACGGACAGAAGCGAAAGCAUUUGCCAAAAACGCUUUCAUUGAUCAAGAACGAAAGUUAGAGGUUCGAAGGCGAUCAGAUACCGCCCUAGUUCUAACCAUAAACGAUGCCAGCUAGCGAUCCGUCGACGUUCCUCCGAUGACUCGACGGGCAGCUUCCGGGAAACCAAAGCUUUUGGGUUCCGGGGGAAGUAUGGUUGCAAAGCUGAAACUUAAAGGAAUUGACGGAAGGGCACCACCAGGAGUGGAGCCUGCGGCUUAAUUUGACUCAACACGGGAAACCUCACCAGGCCCGGACACCGGAAGGAUUGACAGAUUGGGAGCUCUUUCUUGAUUCGGUGGGUGGUGGUGCAUGGCCGUUCUUAGUUGGUGGAGCGAUUUGUCUGGUUAAUUCCGAUAACGAACGAGACUCUAGCCUGCUAACUAGGCGUAUUUUCGACAUCUCAAAGGUCCGUCGUCCCGGCCCUCGGGUCGUGGGCGUGCGCGAUUUUUACUGUCGGCGUACUAUCAAUUCUUCUUAGAGGGACAGGUGGCUUCUAGCCGCACGAGAUUGAGCAAUAACAGGUCUGUGAUG